rnacentral:lncRNA from 1 species
UUUUUUUUUUUUUUUAAUCUUUUUUUUUUUUAGGGCUGCUCCCACAGCAUAUGGAGGUUCCCAGGCUAGGGGUCCAAUCAGAGCGUAGCCGCUGGCCUGCACCACAGCCACAGCCAUGCCAGAUCCGAGCCACGUCUGCGACCUACACCAGAGUUCACAGCAACGCCGGAUCCUUAACCCACUGAGCGAGGCCCGGAAUCAAACCUGCAUCCUCAUGGAUCCUAGUCAGGUUUGUUAGCCGCUGAGCCACGAAGGGAACCCCCAGUUAUUUAUUUAUUUAUUUUUUUCAGUGAAACACAGCAGGUGGUUUGUUGUCCAUCAUAGGAAGAAAAAAGCAUGGCAGCUUUGCACAAGUACGGUUCUUCCACCUUCCUGACUUCCGUGUGUGAACGUGUGUCACACGCCAGCUGCCAGUCAGGGAACCCACUGCGAAGAUGAGCUGGUACCAGUACCCUUAACCCUGAACCAGACAAACAGCAGGAAUGAGGGGAAACCCCCCUCAGGGUCAUUCGCCUCGAGCUGGCGAGUGGGCGUGUGAUCCUAGGAAAGGAAUCUACCUUUUCUUUUUUUAUUUCCUUUUUAAAAAUGAUUUACAAUGAGUCAUGUGCCCAGCAAAGUGAUUUAAUGAUAUUUUGGAGUCCCCUGGCGGCUCAGUAGGUUAAGGAUCCAGCAUGGUCACUGCUGUGGCUUAGGUUACUGCAGGGGUACGGGUUUGAUCCCUGGCUUGGGAACUUCCACAUGCCACAAGCGUGGCCGAAUAAAAUCGUAAAAUAAAAUAAAGUAAAGAUUUUAGGAUAUUUAAUGCAUAUAAGCUGAGAGUAUUUUUUUCCAUCUGUUUUUGCCUCCCUUGGAAGGAAAUUUAUUUUUUUAAAUUGAAGUAUAAUUGAUUUACCAUAUGAUAUUAGUUUCAAGUGUACAGCAUUGCAACUCAGUAUUUUUACUGAUUAUAGUCUAUUAAGUUAUUACAAGAGAGUGGCUCUGGUUUCCUGUGCUGCACACAUGUAUCCCUGUUGCUUAACUAUUUUAUACAUAGUAGUUUAUAUCCUUUAAUCCCAUCCCCCUAAAUUUUUAACAUAAAGAAAUACUUAAGGUUUCCAAAAUUAUUAUGCAGUUUUUGACCUACGUUGUUUCCCAGAUUAAAGGGACAGCUGUACGAAAGCCACCUCAUGAGGACGCAGGUGGAGGUCAGACACUCUUCCACUUUUGUCGUCAUCAAGAAAUUGCCUCUUGAAAUUCCCAUCACGGCUCAGCAGGUUAAGAACCCAACAUAGUGCCCGUGAGAAUGUGAGUUCGCUCCCUGGCCUUGCUCCGUGGGUUAAGGAUCCCAAGUUCCCAAAAGCUGCAGCAUAGGCCACAAAUGCAGCUUGGAUCCGGCGUUGCUCUGGCUGGGCUGUAGGCCCCUAGCCCGGGAACUUCCAUAUGCCACAAGUGUGGCCCUAAAAAGAAAAGAAAAAGAAAUUGCCUCUUCACCACAGAACCACAGGUCCUUCUCUCUGCCUCGAGCUGGCAGGCAGACGGCUUGCAGGCAAAACGCAGGAAUUCUGCAACCUACCUUGCUGCUGACACCCUGCAAAAUGUUUGCAAAAGCAAUGUAUAAUUAUAAGCCUGGAAUCUGUACCUAUUUAUAGUAGCAUCAAGGUGACAAAAAGCACUAGAUUGAGACCAGAUUGAGGAAAAGUGAGAAAACAAUUCUGCCUUCUACCCCGGACCACAGGGCCAAAUGGACCCAAAAGAACCCAGAAAGCACCCUCAAAAUGGUACCUGGGGGCAAUGAAAACAAAAUCUGAGCUGAUGGCUAGACUUUUUUCAGACUUUGGGGAAAAAAAAAAAAAAAAGAUGUUUUUGUCUCUUGUUGACAUUGUCCAUUUAUCAGAAUUUGACAGGUGGAACAAGAACAAAUUCCUUAUAAAUGAUUCAAUCUUUUGGAUUAAAAAAAAAAAAUGAGGCAUCAGUGAAAGCCUUUUCUCUGAAUCUUACCUGACCUUUAUUUUAACUCUUACCUGACCAUUUGGAAUAAGACUGGCCGGGGUCUUCUCUGCGUUUCAAUUUUUCCGUAAGUCAGGGUUUGGUUUCCUCUCCUGGACAGUCAGUCACAUCUUCUCGUCAAGGGACUCUUUGGGAAGCUGCAUCCAUCGUGAGGGUCUUUAGUUUCAAACAGCAGAAAAAGAAAUCCAACUUUUUUUCAAAAGGGGAUCUGUGGUAAAGAAACAGGAAUGUUACCUCUCCUGAGUGUGGAAGAUGCCGGCUCAGCCUCGAUGGCCUGGAUGGGGGUUGAGAUCAAACUAGAAAGACCCACCUGCCCAAGGCGCUCUGACCUCCCCCCCCCCAGGCCCCCACACGACCACCGCAAAUCCGGGACCCCCUGUCAUCACUGUCUCCUCAAGGGGACCUCACACAUCGGUAGUUCCUUGCGAGUAAUUCGCACGCAGGAUCUCUUUAAUGUCAUGACUGUGCGAAACAGUGCCGGCCUCACCAGAUAGUGGCAGGAACCAGGGAGCUGGCCCGUCAGCCGGGCCGCUCAAAAGGAGGGUGUGUUUGAGCAAAUGCCAGAUUUAAAAAAAAAAAAAAAAAAAGGCAAGAGAGGACAAGAUCACACAGCUCUGGAAGAAUCGGAACUUGCUCCCGAAGGCUUUUCCAAUUAGUGGUGAUAUUGUCAUUUCCCCGCUAUCAAUUUAUCUGGACCAGCGGGCGGGCUGCCUGCACAUAGGUAAGGACACGCUGGCAACAGGAAAAACAGAGACGUGAGAGCGCCCCACACGUUUCCACAGCUGUGUUCCUUCUUAGUGGAAAUGCCAGACCGCACAUUUCAACCGCAAGCUUCUGGAAGGCAGCUGAGCUGCAAGGACAGCCGCUUUAGAUGUGCACGCCCUCCAAAAGGAAUCCGAGUGUGUGAAUUGAUCCAAAGAAACCAAGAGAGGAGAGAGUCAAUAUUUAGCUGAAGUAAUUUACACCACAGCAGCCUUUAUAACAGUGAAAAACUGAAAGUUGGAGUUCCUGGGGCGGGUGCAGUGGGUUAAGAGUCCAGCUCCCCACAGAGGUGCGUGUUUGAUCCCUGGCCUCAGAACUUCCAUAUGCCACGGGUGUAGCCAAAAUAAAAAGACUGAAAGUAAUCUAAACAAACCCAUUUAAUGGAAGUCCAUACAGCCAUUAAAAAUGAUGGUGGGGAAAUAUCGUUUUCACAUGAACAGAUAUUCAUAAUAUUAUGUGAAGUGAAAGAAUAGGCUAUGAAAUAAUACAUUUAGUGUGAUUCCAUUCUAGUAAUUGUAGGAGUUCCCUUCCUGGCUCAGUGGAAACGAAUUUGACUAGUAUCCAUGAGGUUGCAGGUUCAAUCCCUGGCCUUGCUCAGUGGGCUGAGGAUCUGGCAUUGCCGUGAGCUGUGGUGUGGGUUGCAGCCAUGGCUCAGAUUCCAUGUUGCUGUGGCUCUGGCGUAGGCUGGUGGCUGAGCUCUGAUUUGACCCCUAGCCUGGGAACCUCUGUAUAUGCCGGCAGGUGCAGCCCUAAAAAAAAUAUAUAUAUAUACAUUGUAAUUGUACAUGCUAGGGAAAAAAUAUCAGGGGAUGAUGUUGGCAGGGUUUUAUCUAUCUAUGGGUGGUGGGUUAUAGGGAGUUUAUACUUCCUUUUUUUUAAAAAAAAAAUCUGUUUUCUACUUUUGUCUAUAACGCACAAGUAUAAUUUUUUAAAAGGAAUACAAUGAAACUGCUCAUCCGUGGACGAAUCCUUCCGUAACACAAAUAAUCAUAUCUUCUGUUUCUUAAUAUGGGGCACACCCACGCCCUCCGAGAACGCUUUAGAUGCAGAUGGAGAAUUAGCCAUUCCUACUGUUUCCCAGGAGGGGUUUUCAACAGACGUUUACUUAAGGAGAGUUAAGUUUUCUAGGACGAUUUGGGGUUUCUGCAGAAGAAAGAUCUUACACUGAUUCAAUUAUUGGGGACACACUGUGGGGUUUUCUCUUUUUUUAUUUGAGGACUUGGAGUCCAGAGGGAAGUGGCCCCCGUCGCAACCUGGGUUCGGUAGCCGGAUGCGGGGGUGUCAGUCCCAAAGUUAGGGGGCUCCUGGAACGGAGGAGGAUUCAACAGCCCCCCCCCGCCCCCAGUCCCCAGCCAGCAGUGUCUGCUCCCGCCUGGUUCCUGGUUGUAUUUCUUCUGAAUACUCCCAGAUCCUGAAAAGAUUACAUUGGAAAAAAUUCUUUAUAGGUCAGUACUUCUAUUUUUGACAGGUGAACUUGCACUGACCUCCACGGAAUCCUGCCUCUGGAAGCCAGGCUAAGGCUGCCUUCUGGAAAAAAAUAAAUACAAAGACUUGUUUCAUUCACUGGGCUGAAAAGAGGUAUCACCCUAAUUCUUGAUGUGCUAAUGAUUCCUGGUUCUUGAAGGUGUUAAUUUUCAAACUCCAGGGUGGAAAAUGUGCUCCUUCCCCACCGAGAUUCAGCAUUAGCGGCUUUGUUUCCCUGUUGCCUAAUCCUGGUCUUAGUUCACAUUUGGACUUUGGCCUAAAUAAAUAAAUUACCGAGAUAUACAUUAAAAAAUAAAUACCACGAUAAUUAUCUCUGUGCUUCAAAUUGUACUAAAACGCUUAAGGUAAAAAUGAUCACUGCUAUGUAAACUACAUAAACAAUAAAAAAUAAAUUGUACAUCAAUUAGCAAAAAUACAUGCAUGCAUCCAUAACACGUUUGAUAUUUUCCCCAGACUUUAUUACCCAGCAUAUGUGCACAACAUAGAUUUUUGAUCUUAAAAACUGCAUUCCCCUCUUUCAUCUGAGAAUAACAGGGGUAGGAAUAGCUUUUAUCCCACCUCCAAAGGCCUUUUUAUUUUAGGGAGAAUUUGGCUUUUCUUUACAGGGUGUGCUGGUCAUUGCUCAUGCUUCCCCAUUUAAAAAAAAAAAAAAAAGUACGUUCUUUAUUUGUGAGAAUGCAGAGAAAAAGAAGAAGAAGAAGCUAUGAAGACACGAAACGAUGGACUAUUUUCCCUUUUAAUUCCCGGACACAUUAGGGAUGCGUGAGUUGCCCUCUCUCCGUGGGAACUGCUUCACACCACACCUCGAUCUGUUACAUAGCUCCUCUUCCAGAAGCAGCUGACGGCUUGCAGUUCUUUUUAUAAAAGCUGCUUCUCACAGAAGGGGGAAGAAGUGGGCUCACAGUGGGGGCAGGGGAGGAGGAUGCAGGGGGAAGAAUUUUUGACAAAGGAAAGUGAAGAAGCGUGUGAAGAAGCCUAACACUGGAAGGCACGGUGGCCCGGGGUCCCCACCUCAUGUUAGCAUUUUGGAAAAAGAGCCUCAAAGAGGCGGGGUCCUUACUCAAGGGCUCCAACCGUAGGAGCUGGUCCAGUCUGGAGUUCUUCGACCCAUCUCCCAACGGUACGCCCCACCCCGUUUGCUUAGAAUAGGUCCAGGAUCCGUGCUGUUCACGAGCCAUCUAGGUCCAUUCUCUUCACUCAUCACAGACUGGGUCUUAUUAUGGGUGUGCAUGGUUCAUGGUGCUGGGGGUAGGCGUGGGGAAUCAGGGCGAGCGGGCAAGGCUAUUGGAAAGAACUGAGGCUUCAGACCAGCCAGAUUCAACGGCUCACCUCCCAGUUCUCCCGCCAACAGCUGGACCUCAGCCCUGUUACAACCAUGUGCUUAAGCCUCAUGCCUCCCCUGGAAGGUGGAGACAGGUGUUCUUACCAUCCUGAAGGCUUGCGAUGAGAAUUCGAAUGGGCAUAAGCAAAAUGUUUAGUGCUCUGUGGUUGCUCACUCAGCAGUCGCCGUAACCCCUAUGACCACUUCUAAGAUAAAGAAAACAGAGCCCCUGCCCCUCUAGCGAGAAUCAAGGGAGAAAUGCUUUGGGCAAUAUGGCCCUAGAAUGCUGGGUUCCUGGACGAGCUACUGGAUUAGUUUGCAACUAAAUUAGAUGCUGUCGUCUUCUCAACCGACACUAUACCAGGGUGAGGAAAUGACCUAAGUUUUCUAUCAGAGAUCCCAGGAGUCAAGAAGAGAAGAAAGAAGAGCCUGGAAAUGGAGUAAACCAGACUCGAUGCCCCCACCUUUGUCUCCUGACCCUGUAACCUGGCAGCUGGGAAAACUCACCUAGAAAACAUGAGACUUUUCCCCUAGGAUGCCCUCCUCUUGGCGAUUAUAUGGCAAAUGAGAGACGGGAAGGAAACGGGGCUGGCUGAAGACCUGUGAACACAGGCACUGGGUCAUGUAAAUAAAAUCCCAUUUAUAUGCAGCUUCUCAUCCAUCUGAGAACCUGGAGAGGGUGGGAAAAGAUGCGGGUCCUUAAGGAGCAGAAGGGAAAGCCGAGAUCUUGGGCUUGCGUCCCCCUUUUUGGCAGCUGAGGGCGUAUCUGAGGCAGGAGGGGGGACAAUGCACCCCAGGUCUCCAGCUGAUGAAUGUCAGAGCCCAGAGGGAAUCCAGGCCUGCCGACCCCCCAACACUGAGUAGUUAGGGGUGAAACCAAAUGUCUAAGAGCGGCAGAGACGGCAUGAGAAGCAGGAAAAUUGGGGCACACGAGGAACCAUCUAAACCUUGUUUUCAGAUCCCCAGUUCUUUCACUAUCAAAGCAUGUAAGAGAGAUGGAUCAAAGGGGCUCAGAAGGCUUGGGGCGAAAUGUAAAAUCUUAGAAAAUUAGCACACAAAGUCAGCUUACUGGCUGUGUUGACAUGCAAUGGCAACAAAUAUUAUUUCACAAACUGUGGUAUUGGAGUUCCCUGGUGGCCUAGCCGUUAAGGACCUGGCAUUGUCACUGCUGUAGCAAGGUUUGAUCCCUGGCCUGAGAACUUCCAUAUGCCAUGGGCAUGGCCGAAAACAAACAGAAAAAACCCCCAAAACCCAGCGGUCUUGAGGUGUAUUUCAUGUAUCAUAAAAUUCACCCAUUUCAAAUGUACAAUUCACUCAACCUACACUAUACCAUGUGUAUACUAUCCAUUGUGCAGCCACGUCCAUAAACCCCGUUUUAGCCUAUUUUUAUCACCCCAACAAGGAUCCCUCAUGUCCACUUACAAUAACUAAUAUUUAUUGAUCCCUCAUGUCCACUUACAGUAACUAAUAUUUAUUGAUGCUUACGACAGGCUUCUGUCUGUAGUCCCUCUCUUCAUGGUACUCUGGAAGGUUCUAUGAUCAUUUUGCCAAAGAGGAAACUGAGUCAUGGUGAGGUCAGAUAGCUCCCAAGGUCAGGUUCACCGUUUCUUAUCCUAUAUUCUUACAUCUUGAAAGAGACAACGAUUCCCUUUAAAUAAUCAGCAGGUACAAAGAGCCGGUUGACAGUGCCCAAAUGCAUCUUCAGAGGUGUCAGACUCUUCAGCAAGGCAUGGGUGUACGUGAGAAAAUAGGUGAGCAGACAACACACCUGUUAAUAGUGAAUGCCGGAAGCUAGGAUUUUUCAUACACUCCCUGGAUUCGGCGUAUGAGGCAGAGCAUGUGUUUUACAGAGAAGAGGAAGCGAUCUGCCCGCCCCCAUCACAGAGUUGGCCCCAUGGAUGUCUUCUGGGGUAAGCAUUAGGCAGGAGGCUGCUCAUUAAGAUGCUUUGGAAAAGGGACGAGACCUACAAGGAACCCAGUCAAUCCACUUAUAGAGCUAGACCUCCUCCUGCCCAAGUCUCAGAAGAGCUGACCUCUGAAGAUAACCUUCCCCAGGAUCCAGGAAAAAAGUUCCUUGUCAAUAUUUGAUAUCCUUAAGAGAAUAUAAGAUUAGCCUCUCCUCAAACAGGAAGGAAGGAGCCUAAGGAGACAAGUUUCAAAAGCGAUAACAUGGGAGUUCCUGUCAUAGCGCAGCAGAAACAAAUCCGACUAGGAAUCAUGAAAUUGCGGGUUCGAUCCCCAGCCUCACUCGGUGGGUUAAGGAUCCAGCGCUGCCAUGAGCUGUGGUGUAGAUUGCAGACUCAGCUCAGAUCUGGCGUUGCUGUGGCUCGGGUGUAGCUCCGAUUGGACUCCUAGCCUAGGAACCUCCAUAUGCCACGGGUGGAGCCCUAGAAAAUAAAAAAGACAAAAAAAAA